UGGGGAAUAUUGCACAAUGGGCGAAAGCCUGAUGCAGCGACGCCGCGUGAGGGAUGACGGCCUUCGGGUUGUAAACCUCUUUCAGCAGGGACGAAGCGCAAGUGACGGUACCUGCAGAAGAAGCACCGGCUAACUACGUGCCAGCAGCCGCGGUAAUACGUAGGGUGCAAGCGUUGUCCGGAAUUACUGGGCGUAAAGAGUUCGUAGGCGGUUUGUCGCGUCGUUUGUGAAAACCAGCAGCUCAACUGCUGGCUUGCAGGCGAUACGGGCAGACUUGAGUACUGCAGGGGAGACUGGAAUUCCUGGUGUAGCUGUGAAAUGCGCAGAUAUCAGGAGGAACACCGGUGGCGAAGGCGGGUCUCUGGGUAGUAACUGACGCUGAGGAACGAAAGCGUGGGUAGCGAACAGG
rnacentral:rRNA from 1 species